CCUACGGGAGGCAGCAGUGAGGAAUAUUGGUCAAUGGGCGCGAGCCUGAACCAGCCAAGUAGCGUGAAGGAUGACUGCCCUACGGGUUGUAAACUUCUUUUAUCAAGGAAUAAAGUUCGGCACGUGUGCCUUUUUGUAUGUACUUUGUGAAUAAGGAUCGGCUAACUCCGUUCCAGCAGCCGCGGGAAUACGGAGGAUCCGAGCGUUAUCCUGAUUUAUUGGGGUUAAAGGGAGAGGAGAUGGGUUGUUAAGUCAGUUGUGAAAGUUUGCGGCUCAACCGUAAAAGUGCAAUUGAUACUGGCAGCCUGGAGUAGAGUUGAGGUAGGCGGAAUGCGUGGUGUAGCGGUGAAAUGCUUAGAUAUCACGAAGAACUCCGAUUGCGAAGGCAGCCUACUAAACUGCAACUGACAUUGAUGCUCGAAAGUGUGGGUAUCAAACAGGAUUAGAUACCCCUGUAGUC
rnacentral:rRNA from 1 species